AUACAAGUGCCAUAAUUUUUAACUUAAUAUAAUUUAUUCAAUUUUUUGUAUCUAACAUUAAGUUUUAUUUAAUUUUUUUUUCUGUAUUUUAUUCUAAUAUGUUUUUAUUCAUUUCAUUGCCUUGUCAAAUUAAUUAAUUUAAAUAAAACAAAUGUAACUUGCUUUUGUGUACCACACUGAUUCUCUUUUUAUUUAUGCUACAAGAAAAACCACCCUCGAACACUAUGAACAUUUCCUUUCCAGUUCGAGUAAAUUCGAUCCACCCAAGCUUUUGAUGUCGUACAAGCCGAUCGUCAAAAAGUUAAACUGGCAACGAAAUUAUUUUCGCACACUGUUGCUAAGGCGCUAUAACUUCCAAGAUGGAAGUUGGGAAGAAUGCUACAGUUUGCUGAAAUAUACAAAUGAUUGCUUCGACGUAAUGAACGUUCGUUCACCAUACUCUGAUUCCAGAGAGAGGGUCCACGCUUAUGGACUUCAUUUAGAAUCACAAAACGUGAUCCUAAAUAAUAUGACUCAAAUGGUAAGAAACAUGCGGGUUAAUGGAAAGAAUUCUCUGCUUCCAUUCCAAAAAGGUAUUGUGCAAUCUAACACCGCCUUACAAAUGUUGCACAAAAAAAUGGAAGAUCGUUUUGGUGUGAAGUUUAUAAUAACAUACCGCUUGAACCAAGAUGUUUUGGAAAACUUUUUCGGUGUCAUUCGUUCCAAAAGAGGACUUCACGACCACCCUGAUCGCCAAGAAUUCAAAUACAGGCUGCGGUCAUAUAUUCUUAGACAUGUUAUAUAACUUUAAAAAAGUUAUAUUAUGGGAAUUCGCAAGGAUUAAUAUUUAAACAACUCUACUUGUUAACGUAUUGAAUGAGACUCACCUUGUCUUGUCAUUCCGAUCAUCGCGAGCCCAACUUCCUCAGUGGAUAAUCGUCGGCACGUUUAAGGAGUCAGCACAAUUCAAUUAUUGUCUUAUUGCACUUUGAUUGACCCAAAACAAUAUCCGAAUGGGCAAUCAAAGUGAACAUUACAAUUGAAGUGUGCUGAGUUCAACGCACAACGAUUUCCUCUGGUAGGUAUGGAAGAGGGCACAACAUCCCUCCCCACCCGGAGGAAGAACUCACCAUCAACCGGAUGACGAUCGACAAGAUUAAAUAACAAAUAUUUAUUUUGCAUUUUCUUAUAAUAUAACAUUUAAUUUCUUAUUAUCUAUAAAUUAUCUUUUUUGAAGUUAUACUUCUUUUGCGGCGUUGGGGCGAAAAUUUACUUUUUGACAAGAACUGUCAAAGGGAUUAGCAAGUAGCGCCAUUUCAACCCAGCGCGGUAAGAAAUAAAACUAUUGUAAGCAAUAGGUAUGUUUGGGUUCUUUUUAAACAAACAUAUAUUAGGUCUGUUUGGGUACUACCUAAAACAGAAAUAUUUUUACUUUUUUCGACUUUUUUUUAACCCAAUUCCUGUUUGGGUACUCUGUUAUUGUGCACUUUUUUCACAAAAAAGAUGGCCGCGAGAGAGAAAAUAAUUUCUGCUUCUUGCGAUUUUCUGCCCAAAAAAUUUUUUCGGACAAAAAACUGAAAUCUGUGAAAAGGUAGUGCUUUCUCUGUUUUACAUAUUCGGUCUUGUCGCACAACAUAAACAAAAAAAACUAUAAACAUGACGAUAUGCUUUUUUCUUGUGUUUUAAUUUUAAUUUAUUGCGUUACAGUGGCUUAGUGCUUAAAAUAUAUUAUAAAAUUCGAAGUAAAAAUUAUAAAAAAAAGUAUUUGACGAGUUUUGAUAUUUUUCGUUUUUUUUUUCUUUGUUUACUUUUUUGGAAGCAGAAAAGUUUGAACAAAAAGCGUUUGGGUUCUCUUGAACAAUUUUUCUUUCUCUGAGAGGAUUUCAUCCCCACUCCUUAAAAUUUGACAGAUUUCAUAUUUUUGUCCAAAAAGAACCCAAACAGACCUAUUAAGGAGUGGGUAUGAAAUCCUAAAAUUUUGUAAAAGUACCGAAACACUAGGUCUGUUUAGGUACUGCCUAAAACAGAAAUAUUUUUACUCAACUUUUUUUUUCUUUUUUUUUUUAUUGCGUUGC